UCCUGUCCCAGAGUACAGUGACUCGUGCCCAGCUCAGAGAGCAGCAGUCACCUCCUGGUGACCUCCUGGCGGCUGGGGAGCGUGGACAAGCAGAUCUCCGACUUCACCCUGGCGUAGGUGCUGCUGGAAGAGGAGGAGAAGGCCCCA